CCCGAGCUGCGAAUAGCUGCGCCACACCAGAUGAGCUGCUAGGAACGCCGAGGGUGCCAGGGAAUGAACGUGCUUAUUUCUGACUUCUGAGAGGAUAUAAUCCAAAUGACAGAUACCCAAUAGGCCCAAGGUUCAGCGCUUGGAAAGCAGCAAGACUCGAAGCCACCUGCGGUUGGCGAUGGAAAAUGCAGCAUUGCUUCAAGCCUUUACUUCAUGUCUCUACUUUCCUGCUAUGAUGGAUUAUACCUUGGAAUGGUGACACUAUUGACGCCUCACCUGCUGUUCCGGAGGAGGUGAGUCUGGGAGGAAUCUGCAGACCAGCUCCACAGUGGACACCGGAAGCAGUGAAAACCGAUUUCGCUCACAUAGUGUUACUGAGAAAAGAAUCCAAAGGGAGGACUUCCUUCCUAAGGAAGAGACGGUUUUCCCUGGCGUUGGAAGAGAAAACUCCACAGUGAGUCUUUGCCUGAGCUCCAUGCACCGAGAGAGCUCUGUAAAUCGCUACAGAAAGUUUUGGCUGCUGGAGACCUUGAAACUCACUCCACUGACAAGAUAAUGCCGAGGAUCCCUGGAAACGAAGCCAUAGGAAUGGUAGAUGCUCUUGGAAUUCUUACCUCUGGGAUAUCUUAAUUCUCCUCCUCUGUUCUUCAGUAUUUGGUCAGCAGUUGUCUAUUUACUGGAUCUUCACUGAUAUAAGUAUCCUGGUUGGGAAACUGAGAGGAAGAG
rnacentral:lncRNA from 1 species